AUUGAACGCUGGCGGCAGGCCUAACACAUGCAAGUCGAGCGAGCGGCGGACGGGUGAGUAAUGUCUGGGAAACUGCCUGAUGGAGGGGGAUAACUACUGGAAACGGUAGCUAAUACCGCAUACCAUCAGAUGUGCCCAGAUGGGAGUAGCUAGUAGGUGGGGUAACGGCUCACCUAGGCGACGAUCCCUAGCUGGUCUGAGAGGAUGACCAGCCACACUGGCACGUGGACACGGUCCAUACUCCUACGUGAGGCAGCAGGUGGGAAUAUUGCACAAUGGGCGCAAGCAUGAUGCAGCCAUGCCGCGUGUGUGACGAAGGCCUUCGGGUUGUAAAGCACUUUCAGCGGUGAGGCGUUACCCGCAGAAGAAGCACCGGCUAACUCCGUGCCAGCAGCCGCGGUAAUAC
rnacentral:rRNA from 1 species